UACGUAGGUGGCAAGCGUUGUCCGGAAUUAUUGGGCGUAAAGCGCGCGCAGGCGGAUCUGUAAGUCUGUCUUAAAAGUUCGGGGCUCAACCCCGUGAGGGGAUAGAAACUGCAGAUCUUGAGUAUCGGAGAGGAAAGUGGAAUUCCUAGUGUAGCGGUGAAAUGCGUAGAGAUUAGGAAGAACACCAGUGGCGAAGGCGACUUUCUGGACGAACACUGACGCUGAGGCGCGAAAGCCAGGGGAGCGAACG
rnacentral:rRNA from 1 species